rnacentral:rRNA from 2 species
AGUCUGAUGGAGCAACGCCGCGUGAGUGAAGAAGGCUUUCGGGUCGUAAAACUCUGUUGUUGGAGAAGAAUGGUCGGCAGAGUAACUGUUGUCGGCGUGACGGUAUCCAACCAGAAAGCCACGGCUAACUACGUGCCAGCAGCCGCGGUAAUACGUAGGUGGCAAGCGUUAUCCGGAUUUAUUGGGCGUAAAGCGAGCGCAGGCGGUUUUUUAAGUCUGAUGUGAAAGCCCUCGGCUUAACCGAGGAAGUGCAUCGGAAACAGGGAAACUUGAGUGCAGAAGAGGACAGUGGAACUCCAUGUGUAGCGGUGAAAUGCGUAGAUAUAUGGAAGAACACCAGUGGCGAAGGCGGCUGUCUGGUCUGUAACUGACGCUGAGGCUCGAAAGCAUGGGUAGCGAACAGGAUUAGAUACCCUGGUAGUCCAUGCCGUAAACGAUGAAUGCUAGGUGUUGGAGGGUUUCCGCCCUUCAGUGCCGCAGCUAACGCAUUAUGCAUUCCGCCUGGGGAGUACGACCGCAAGGUUGAAACUCAAAGGAAUUGACGGGGGCCCGCACAAGCGGUGGAGCAUGUGGUUUAAUUCGAAGCAACGCGAAGAACCUUACCAGGUCUUGACAUCUUUUGAUCACCUGAGAGAUCAGGUUUCCC